rnacentral:tRNA from 1 species
GUCCCGUUCGUCUAGAGGCCUAGGACACCGCCCUUUCACGGCGGCGACACGGGUUCGACUCCCGUACGGGACG